UACGGAGGGUGCAAGCGUUACCCGGAAUCACUGGGCGUAAAGGGCGUGUAGGUGGCCGUACAAGUCCGGCUUUAAAGACCGAGGCUCAACCUCGGGAAUGGGCUGGAGACUGUAGGGCUAGAGGUCUGAAGAGGUAAGCGGAAUUUCGGGUGUAGCGGUGGAAUGCGUAGAUACCCGAAGGAACACCAAUGGCGAAGGCAGCUUACUGGGCAGAACCUGACACUGAGGCGCGAAAGUGUGGGGAGCAAACCGG
rnacentral:rRNA from 1 species